rnacentral:rRNA from 1 species
AGUGAACGCUGGCGGUAGGCCUAACACAUGCAAGUCGAACGGCAGCACAGUAAGAGCUUGCUCUUACGGGUGGCGAGUGGCGGACGGGUGAGGAAUACAUCGGAAUCUACUUUUUCGUGGGGGAUAACGUAGGGAAACUUACGCUAAUACCGCAUACGACCUACGGGUGAAAGCAGGGGAUCUUCGGACCUUGCGCGAUUGAAUGAGCCGAUGUCGGAUUAGCUAGUUGGCGGGGUAAAGGCCCACCAAGGCGACGAUCCGUAGCUGGUCUGAGAGGGUGAUCAGCCAGACUGGAAAGGAGACACGGUCCAGACUCCUACGGGAGGCAGCAGUGGGGAAUAUUGGACAAUGGGCGCAAGCCUGAUCCAGCCAUACCGCGUGGGUGAAGAAGGCCUUCGGUUUGUAAAGCCCUUUUGUUGGGAAAGAAAAGCAGCAGGUUAAUACCCCGCUGUUCUGACGGUACCCAAAGAAUAAGCACCGGCUAACUUCGUG